AGUGCAGCAGACGCUAUGAGGACCUUGCCAAGGUUGGGGUCGAGGGUUCGAAUCCCUUCGCCCGCUCCA
rnacentral:tRNA from 1 species